rnacentral:tRNA from 1 species
UAGGCGGAUGCUCGCUGGAUUGGGCGCUUAGCUGUUAACUAAGAGUUUGUAGGUUCGAGGCCUUCCCACCUAG